rnacentral:misc_RNA from 1 species
GGAAGCAGGCGCUCAGGCGCCCUUCUCUCCCUUAAACCAUGUGGUCCUAUGCCAUGCCUCGGGGGGGUCAAGCGGCCUAGGCCGUGGGGUCCUCUGUGGCCCGCCCCCCCGCGUCUGCCGUGCCUCGGGCGAGUCCGCUCGUCUGGGCCGGCAAGCUUCAGUCUUGGAGUGAUGAUUGUGUCUGAUCAGUCCAGUGGACAGAAUUAUUA